AUGGGGACGCCCACACCCGUGUGCUUUGUGUGGAGCGCUGUGGAGCACUGCUGUGCUGCAGCGCCAGUCGCCGGCUGCACCGGCCGCAGGCUGCACUGCGCUGGCACCCCGCAUUUCUUUUAUACCUCGGAAUUUCCCCCUGCCAUUGGACUUUCAGCCAACAUCUCAUUUCUUUUAUUCCACAUUUUCACAUUCAUUCAGCAUCACAAACCUAAGCCCCAUGACCUGAUCAGCUGUCACUUGGCCUUCAUUCAUGUACUGAUGUUCCUCACUGUAGUGGAUGUUUUGCCUUCAGGUUUGCUUGAAUCACAUUUUGGGAAUUACAUCAAAUUGGAUGUCUUCAUCUCAUUCUCUUCAACCUUGUUAUGGAUGUAUAACCCAGUCAUCCUGAAUGUGCAGAACCUGGUGGUCAAUGCCUAUGCUACCAUUGCUCCAUUUGUACAAAUCAGCUCUGAUAAAAGAAUAGGAACACCAGAUUUUGACAACUACACACAAAAAACCACCAUCACAAGAUCAAAAAACACGGUAUCUGGUUUUAACUUUAGAUUGCUGAAAGAGGCACUGAAGAGGGAGCAGCUGCAGGGACUCACGACCGCUUCGCGGUGUUCACCGAGAAGGUGCAUCAGCUGGAGACACAGAACCGCGCGCUGGAGACCGAGCUGGCCGCGCUGCGGCAGCGCCACGCCGAGCCGUCGCCCAUCGGCGAGCUCUUCUUCCAGCGCGAGCUGCGCCACCUGCGCGCGCAGCUGGAGGAGGCGAGCUCCGCGCGCGCGCAGGCCCUACUGGAGCGCGCAGCCCCUGCUGGAGCGCGACGGGCUAGCAGAGGAGGUGCAGCGGCUGCGGGCGCGCUGUGAGGAGGAGAGCCGCGGACGCGAAGGUGCGGAGCGCGCCCUGAAGGCGCAGCAGCUCGACGUGGACGGCGCCACGCUGGCCCGCUUGGACCUGGAGAAGAAGGUGGAGUCGCUGCUGGACGAGCUGGCCUUCGUGCGCUAGGUGCACCACGAGGAGGUAGCCGAGCUGCUGGCCAUGCUCCUGGCGUCGUCACAGGCCGCGGCUGAGGUGAACGUGGCUGUGGCUAAACCAGAUCUGAGCUCGGUGCUGAGGGAGAUCCGCGCCCAAUAUGAGUCCUUGGCUGCUAAGAACCUGCAGUCCGCGGAGGAAUGGUACAAGUCCAAGUUCGCCAACCUGAAGGAGCAGGCGGUGCGCAGCACCGAGGCCAUCCGAGCCAGCCGCGAGGGGAUCCACGAGUACCGGCGCCAGCUGCAGGCGCACAGCAUCAAGAUCGAGGGCCUGCGCAGGGCCAACGCGUCCUUGGAGAGGCAGAUCCUGGAACUGGAGGAGGGGCACAAUGCCGAGGUGGCUGGCUACCAGGAUGACAUUGGGCAGCUAGAGAAUGAUCUGAGGAACACCAAGAGUGAGAUGGCAUGCCACCUUCGGGAAUACCAGGACUUGCUCAAUGUUAAAAUGGCUCUUGACAUUGAGACAGCAGCUUACAGGAGACUGCUGGAAGGCGAAGAGACACGUUUUAGCACCAGUGGGUUAAGCAUUUCGGAGCUGAAUCCACUUCUCAAUCCAAGUUAUCUGCUUACAUCUAGAAUCCUCAGUUCUACAACCUCCAAAGUCUCAUCCACUGGGCUAUCACUUAAGAAAGAGGAAGAGGAGGAGGAGGCAUCUAAGGUAGCCUCUAAGAAAACCUCUGAGAUACGGGAAAGUUUUGAAGAAAUAUUAGAGGAGACAGUAAUAUCUACUAAGAAAACCGAGAAAUCAAAUAUAGAAGAAACCACCAUUUCGAGCCAAAAAAUAUAAUUUCAAUGCUUUGAAAGAGUUAAUGCUUAAGAGGGAAUGAUAUGCAUUUGACGUGUUAAACAGCCUGUUCCUGAAACAUAACACCUGCCACACCCCUAUGAAAUGUCUUCAAGGCUUCAUUCUCAUAUUUAGUAUUGAAUACUUACAUUCUCUAAUAAGACAAUCACCCCUUAGAUUGAAGUAAACUGCAAUCCUGGAGCAAUCACAGAUGAGUUAUCUAAGAAUACAGCUUUCUGACCUUCAGCUCACGCUUCACAGUGAUUGAUGAUUCAGGUGCAGAGGAAGUACAAACUAAGGUGCUAAAUCUGUGAUCAUCGUCAUUUGCUGUGAACUGAAAUUAUUCACACUACCCAGCCAUUAUCCAGCUAAAUAAUCUUAUUCUAGAUACCUAAAACAUAAGAUCAGUGCCAAAGAUAAACUAAUGGUCCACACCCAGUUCCACUCUGAUAGAACUGUUUCACAAAUAAUAGGUGUUUGUUUAAUGGACACUUUCCACUUCCCUCAAUUCCAUAUAUCCUUUUCUUCCAUGCAGGAAAAAAAUAGUCUAGUGUAGUAUUCUUCCCUUUUAAACACAUUUUGGUUCUUCUCAAAAGAACUUACCCGUUAGCUCUCUUUGCUCAGUGGGUAAAAUUAGAUGCAUGUUGACCAUGUCUAUGAUUCGUGUAAUGACUCAUCCCUGCCCAUUUCAUAUUCUUUUAAUCCUAUAGGCUAAAAAAAUGCCGGUGAUGAAUUUUAAGGGUUUUCCCCAACAAAUAAAAUAAUGAAAAGAAUCCCUAGACUUUAGGCUUUCAGCUUACACAAAUCCAUUUAAUUAGGAGAAAAAAGCUAUUAAGGAUGUAGCUUUUCACCUUUACUUUAGAAGCUCAGUAAAUAGUUAUUCCAAACUGUGAUUAAGCUGAACUUAGAUUUAUUAGUAUAAGCUAGAAGUGAGUGUUUCUAUGAGUGGAAAAAGCCAAGGUGUCAUUUAUGUGUCAGUUCAUUUGUGGUGAUAUAGAAU